GAUGAACGCUAGCGGCAGGCCUAACACAUGCAAGUCGAGGGGCAGCACAGGAAAGUAGUAAUACUUUUGGGUGGCGACCGGCGGACGGGUGCGUAACGCGUAUACAACCUGCCUUCUACUGGGGGAGAAUUCGGAGAAAUCUGGUCUAAUACCCCAUAACAACCGAUGAGGCAUCUCAUUGGUUUAAAAGCACCGUCGGUAGACGAUGGGGAUGCGUGACAUUAGAUAGUUGGUGGGGUAACGGCUCACCAAGUCGACGAUGUCUAGGGGGACUUCGCGAUUAACCCCCCACAAUGGUACUGAGAAACGGACCAGACUCCUACGGGAGGCAGCAGUGAGGAAUAUUGGUCAAUGGCAGCAAGUCUGAACCAGCCAUGCCGCGUGGAGGAAGACGGCUCUAUGAGUUGUAAACUGCUUUUGUACGAGGGUAAACCCAGGGACGUGUCCUUGGUUUAAAGUACCGUACGAAUAAGGAUCGGCUAACUCCGUGCCAGCAGCCGCCGUAA
rnacentral:rRNA from 1 species